rnacentral:snRNA from 1 species
AUCGCUUCUUGACCUUUUGGCUAAGAUCAAGUGUA